rnacentral:rRNA from 1 species
GAGUGGCGAACGGGUGAGUAACGCGUGGGAACCUACCCAGCAGUUGGGGAUAACAGCGGGAAACUGCGGCUAAUACCGAAUACGUCGGAGAAAGAUUUAUCGCUGUUGGAGGGGCCCGCGUCGGAUUAGCUAGUUGGUGAGGUAAUGGCUCACCAAGGCAUCGAUCCGUAGCUGGUCUGAGAGGAUGAUCAGCCACACUGGGACUUAGACACGGCCCAGACUCCUACGGGAGGCAGCAGUGGGGAAUAUUGGACAAUGGGGGCAACCCUGAUCCAGCAAUGCCGCGUGAGUGAUGAAGGCCUUAGGGUUGUAAAGCUCUUUUACCGGGGACGAUGAUGACGGUACCCGGAGAAUAAGCCCCGGCUAACUUCGUGCCAGCAGCCGCGGUAAUACGAAGGGGGCGAGCGUUGUUCGGAGUUACUGGGCGUAAAGGGCGCGUAGGCGGCGGACCAAGUUAGGCGUGAAAGCCCCGGGCUCAACCUGGGAAUUGCGCUUAAGACUGGUCUGCUUGAGUGCGGGAGAGGUGAGUGGAAUUCCCAGUGUAGAGGUGAAAUUUGUAGAUAUUGGGAAGAACACCAGUGGCGAAGGCGGCUCACUGGCCCGCAAC